CCCCAAAGCAUAAGUCAGGGUGAUUUGCAACUGAUUCUAUUCCGUUACUUUCCCAAAAAAUUGCCUGUUACGUCUUUGGAAUAUUGAUAUUAUUCGUCCGUAGACCCAGGACUUUGUCUUGGUACCUUUUCCGUUUUGGAGUUGGUUUUGUCUACAUCGAGCUGGCAGUUUUUGCUGGCUCACCCCAGGAUAAUUACGGUGACUUCUUGAGUUGAAUCUCCUUUUUCUUUUUCAUGGGAUGAUUCGUAGUAUAGAUACCGACAUUU
rnacentral:snoRNA from 1 species